rnacentral:rRNA from 1 species
UACGUAGGUCGCAAGCGUUGUCCGGAUUUACUGGGCGUAAAGCGUGCGCAGGCGGUUAUGUAAGACAGGUGUGAAAUCCCAGGGCUUAACCUUGGAACUGCAUUUGUGACUGCAUAGCUAGAGUACGGUAGAGGGGGAUGGAAUUCCGCGUGUAGCAGUGAAAUGCGUAGAUAUGCGGAGGAACACCGAUGGCGAAGGCAAUCCCCUGGACCUGUACUGACGCUCAUGCACGAAAGCGUGGGGAGCAAACAGG